GAUGAACGCUGGCGGCGUGCCUAAUACAUGCAAGUCGAGCGAACAGACGAGGAGCUUGCUCCUCUGACGUUAGCGGCGCACGGGUGAGUAACACGUGGAUAACCUACCUAUAAGACUGGGAUAACUUCGGGAAACCGGAGCUAAUACCGGAUAAUAUAUUGAACCGCAUGGUUCCAUAGUGAAAGACGGUUUUGCUGUCACUUAUAGAUGGAUCCGCGCCGCAUUAGCUAGUUGGUAAGGUAACGGCUUACCAAGGCAACGAUGCGUAGCCGACCUGAGAGGGUGUUCGGCCACAGAGGAUCUUAGACGCGGACCAGACUCCUAAGGGAGGCAGCAGUAGGGAAACUUGCGCAAUGUGCGAAGGCCGGACGGAGGAACACCGCGUGGGUGCUGAAGGUCUUCCGAGCGUAAAACGUUGCUAUUGGGGAAGAACUGAUGUGUAAGGAACUACGCACGUCUUUACGGUACCUAACCAGAAAGCCUCGGCUAACUACGUG
rnacentral:rRNA from 1 species